UACGUAGGGGGCAAGCGUUGUCCGGAAUUAUUGGGCGUAAAGGGCUCGUAGGCGGUUCGUCACGUCGGGAGUGAAAACUCGGAGCUUAACUCCGAGCCUGCUUCCGAUACGGGCAGACUAGAGGUAGGCAGGGGAGAGCGGAACUCCUGGUGUAGCGGUGGAAUGCGCAGAUAUCAGGAAGAACACCGGUGGCGAAGGCGGCUCUCUGGGCCUUACCUGACGCUGAGGGACGAAAGCUAGGGGAGCGAAUGGG
rnacentral:rRNA from 1 species